AUGCUCACUGCAGACAUAAAAUUUCCUGUUAAAUCCUUAUAUCUUCAUUUGAUCAAAAUUAAUUGUGGUUUUCCUCAGAAUUUUUUGUGGAAGUCCCAAGUCCUAGCGAAAAUCAAAAUUUUCUUGUGGCUGCUGAACAGAAAAAGUAUAUUGACCAGAGAUAAUCUUUUAAAGAGGGGAUGGAAAGGGGACAAAAACUGUGUAUUUUGUGGAAAAGAUGAGAUCAUUGAUCAUCUUUUCUUCUCUUGCUCUAUUCCUAAACUCGUUUGGAACUUAAUUAGGUGUUCUUUUGAUAUGAGACCCAUUCCUGCUGAUCUUAAUGAUUGUUUUGGGAGAUGGAUAAAUAGCUUCCCUAAAAAUGAUUUAAAAAAUUGGUUCUGGUAG
rnacentral:rRNA from 1 species